rnacentral:pre_miRNA from 1 species
AAUAAACCAAUUUUUCACUUUUUACCUAUAAUUUUUUACUCUUCGUCUUAUUCAAAAAAAAUUGCGAUUGAUAUUUUUAUUUUUACUAGGUGAUAAAUCAUGAAUAGUACUUUACGUGUGACUAAUUUUUUUCUAAUUUCCUGAAAAUUUUUCAAAUAAAACGCAUGGUCAAGCGUUGGACACGGAAACC